GACGAACGCUGGCGGCGUGCUUAACACAUGCAAGUCGAACGGAAAGGCCCUGCUUUUGUGGGGUGCUCGAGUGGCGAACGGGUGAGUAACACGUGAGUAACCUGCCCUUGACUUUGGGAUAACUUCAGGAAACUGGGGCUAAUACCGGAUAGGAGCUCCUGCUGCAUGGUGGGGGUUGGAAAGUUUCGGCGGUUGGGGAUGGACUCGCGGCUUAUCAGCUUGUUGGUGGGGUAGUGGCUUACCAAGGCUUUGACGGGUAGCCGGCCUGAGAGGGUGACCGGCCACAUUGGGACUGAGAUACGGCCCAGACUCCUACGGGAGGCAGCAGUGGGGAAUGUUGCACAAUGGGCGGAAGCCUGAUGCAGCAACGCCGCGUGCGGGAUGACGGCCUUCGGGUUGUAAACCGCUUUCGCCUGUGACGAAGCGUGAGUGACGGUAAUGGGUAAAGAAGCACCGGCUAACUACGUGCCAGCAGCCGCGGUGAUACGUAGGGUGCGAGCGUUGUCCGGAUUUAUUGGGCGUAAAGGGCUCGUAGGUGGUUGAUCGCGUCGGAAGUGUAAUCUUGGGGCUUAACCCUGAGCGUGCUUUCGAUACGGGUUGACUUGAGGAAGGUAGGGGAGAAUGGAAUUCCUGGUGGAGCGGUGGAAUGCGCAGAUAUCAGGAGGAACACCAGUGGCGAAGGCGGUUCUCUGGGCCUUUCCUGACGCUGAGGAGCGAAAGCGUGGGGAGCGAACAGGCUUAGAUACCCUGGUAGUCCACGCUGUAAACGGUGGGUACUAGGUGUGAGGUCCAUUCCACGGGUUCCGUGCCGUAGCUAACGCUUUAAGUACCCCGCCUGGGGAGUACGGCCGCAAGGCUAAAACUCAAAGGAAUUGACGGGGCCCCGCACAAGCGGCGGAGCAUGCGGAUUAAUUCGAUGCAACGCGUAGAACCUUACCUGGGUUUGACAUGGAUCGGGAGUGCUCAGAGAUGGGUGUGCCUCUUUUGGGGUCGGUUCACAGGUGGUGCAUGGCUGUCGCCAGCUCGUGUCGUGAGAUGUUGGGUUAAGUCCCGCAACGAGCGCAACCCUUGUUCACUGUUGCCAACACGUUAUGGUGGGGACUCAGUGGAGACCGCCGGGGUCAACUCGGAGGAAGGUGGGGAUGACGUCAAGUCAUCAUGCCCCUUAUGUCCAGGGCUUCACGCAUGCUACAAUGGCUGGUACAGAGAGUGGCGAGUCUGUGAGGGUGAGCGAAUCUCGGAAAGCCGGUCUCAGUUCGGAUUGGGGUCUGCAACUCGACCUCAUGAAGUCGGAGUCGCUAGUAAUCGCAGAUCAGCAACGCUGCGGUGAAUACGUUCCCGGG
rnacentral:rRNA from 1 species